rnacentral:rRNA from 1 species
UACGUAGGGUGCGAGCGUUGUCCGGAAUUAUUGGGCGUAAAGAGCUCGUAGGCGGACUGUCACGUCUGCUGUGAAAAGCUAGGGCUUAACCCUGGCCUUGCAGUGGAUACGGGCAGACUAGAGGUAGGUAGGGGAGAAUGGAAUUCCCGGUGUAGCGGUGAAAUGCGCAGAUAUCGGGAGGAACACCGGUGGCGAAGGCAGCUCGCUGGGACGGUACUGACGCUGAGGCGCGAAAGCGUGGGGAGCAAACAGG